rnacentral:tRNA from 1 species
GACGAUCUCCAUCCUUAGCCACUGCCACAUAAGCGAUAGGGCCUGUAGCUCAGAGGAUUAGAGCACGUGGCUACGAACCACGGUGUCGGGGGUUCAAAUCCCUCCUCGCCCAC